AGAGUUUGAUCCUGGCUCAGAGCGAACGCUGGCGGCAUGCUUAACACAUGCAAGUCGCACGGGCACUUCGGUGUCAGUGGCGGACGGGUGAGUAACGCGUAGGUAUCUAUCCUUGGGUGGGGGACAACUGUGGGAAACUACAGCUAAUACCGCAUGAUGACUGAGGUCCAAAGGCGCAAGUCGCCUGGGGAGGAGCCUGCGUACGAUUAGCUAGUUGGUGGGGUAAAGGCCUACCAAGGCGACGAUCGUUAGCUGGUCUGAGAGGAUGAUCAGCCACAUUGGGACUGAGACACGGCCCAAACUCCUACGGGAGGCAGCAGUGGGGAAUAUUGGACAAUGGGCGAAAGCCUGAUCCAGCAAUGCCGCGUGUGUGAAGAAGGUCUUCGGAUUGUAAAGCACUUC
rnacentral:rRNA from 1 species